UAGUAAGUGUUUAUGGCACUUCUUAAAUCCAUAUCCACCUUGUGUGCAAUGUCAGCCGUUUUCUUUAUGAAAGCGGCCAAACAUCAACUUAUUUUUUAACGUCUUGUCUGAAAACUAUUAUGAAUAAACAAUUCAAAUA
rnacentral:misc_RNA from 1 species